AGCAAUAGUUUGGGGGUUCCAGGCAGGGGAAACAGCUAGAGAACCCUCAAAACUCCCAUGAUGGGGCGCCUGGGUGGCUCAGUUGCCCGCUCCGAAACCUCAAGACCAAGCAGUACCAACGUCUGGACAUAAGGUAGAUAGAGCUCUGGAGUCAGACUUGCCUGACUCAAAUCCUGCUCCAGGCAGCGCUACACCUCUGGACAAGACUACUGACCACUACAUAUGUCAUUACAUACGUGGAAAUGAUAAUGGCAUCUACCUUAUGGGGUUCCUGAGAGGAUGAUAGCAGACCACGCAUUAAAACACAAAGCACGGAACUGGGAACGUUAUAGGUUCUCAUGAAUGCCACCCAGGGAGCAUACCAAUGGUCCACUGAGCUACUGAAAUGAUGCUUCGGACCUGAUCCCUGCCUCAUAAAUAAGGACCAGACAUGGAAUCCAGGUCAGUGAGAAUUUACUAUUAUUAAUACUCAAUUGAACAUUGGAGAAAUACCAGUGAUUUCAAGGAACUUGCAGUCCAGUUAGGAAGAUAUUAUAAACACAUGAAACAGGAGAUCUGAGAAAUGACACACAUAGUAUCAGAAUUAAUAAAAUAGAAAAUAAAAUCUAAGCAAAGGCUCAUUCUGGGUUGAGUAGUGAUAUUUAAGGAAAGCACUGUAGAGGAGACAUUUGAACCUGAGGUGAAAAAUGAGAAGUAACAGGUGAGGAGGAAGGGAGAAGGAUGUUUUCAGUGCUGGGUAGUGUUAGGAAGCGUACAUUGAUUUAUAUGGCUGGAAAUCAUGAGAAUUAGC
rnacentral:lncRNA from 1 species